UACGUAGGGGGCGAGCGUUAUCCGGAAUUACUGGGCGUAAAGCGCGUGUAGGCGGAUGGGCAAGUCUGCUGUGAAAGCUCCUGGCUUAACCGGGAGUGGUCGGUGGAAACUGCCAAUCUGGAGGACGGUAGAGGUAGGUAGAAUUCCCGGUGUAGUGGUGAAAUGCGUAGAGAUCGGGAGGAAUACCUGUGGCGAAGGCGGCCUACUGGGCCGGACCUGACGCUGAGACGCGAAGGCGUGGGGAGCAAACAGG
rnacentral:rRNA from 1 species